UGGAGUGCUGUAACCUAGUUCUUUCAUAUGUGCAGUUAGGUGCUGCAAACUGAUCCCUUUCCCAAAUUAUUGUUCCACCUGUUUGAAAUGGAAAGCCUUUAUAAAGAGGAUUGUGUAGACUAAUACCGCUGAUUUGGGAUGUCCUCUCUGAAACACUCGGUUUUGAUUUUUCAAAUAGGCUGUUGGUGGGAGAUGCAUGUCCUGUUUCAGAGGCAGAGCCAACAUUGCAGUGCUUGGGUUUUUUUUUUAUUGUUCUGUCAAAAUCAACCAAAACCACCAGAAAACAACCAAACAAAACAGAACCCUCAAUAAAAACUCCCAAAACUGAAGUUUGCAGCCCUUGGCAAGCUGUUGACGAAUUAUCAAAAUGGCAAAGCACCUCUGUGUUUGCCAGCAGUAGAAAUGUAGCCAGUGCUGAUGCAGGGUUCUUUUAGAGCUCGUGUGCACUGUCAGCACUUUAAGAAAAACCAGCUCAAGGCCUCUCCCCUUUUCGGUCUUUGGCAAGUCCACAUCUACUGAUGGAAACAGAGAUGUGUGAAAGUUCAGGAUAUCACAGUCCAGCAGUUCAUUGCACUGCUGGUUACUUUGCUAUUUGAGCAAGUAACUUUUCCUCAGUUGCACAGCAAAUUUUGAAGCAUUUCUCUGAAAAUCUGCAACCAACUGCACAUCCAGUCCUUUCAAUAAGGAAAAGAAAAAAUAAUCAGUAAAUUUGACCCUUAUAUGUAUGGAGGGAAAAGGAAGGGAGAAUUAUUAGGGAGAACAAAUAGAAUUAGUAAAAGGUAAAGAAGAGAAAAUUAUAUAGUUCUGCAUCUUUAAAUGUGCUUUUUACUAGGUAUUAAUUUCUUUGAUCAUAGCUCCCUGAGUAUGAAAGAGACCAGUAAAAGGCUAAAGAGCAAAUUCAGAUACUUAAAAAAAGAACACUGAUUAUUUUCAAUUAUUCUGUACCUGUUAGGAGGCUUUUAUAUUUUAACAUUUUAGAUUGUUUCUUGGAUGUGUUAAGCACUGGAAUCAAGGUAUUAAUUUAAAGAUAAGGAAUUAUUAAAUGAUUUUUCUAUGAUCUGUACCUUAAAACUCCCCAGAGAUUAUAGACUUCCAUGUCUGAAGAAGUGUAUACAGAAUUUAGGAAAUAAAAAAAUCCAUUUCUAAGAGUUGAGAAUGCUAUGGGAAAUUAAAAUGUUAAGUGGAAGAUUUACUCUGGAAAAGGUAUUCUUUUGCUUUGGAAGGACCGUUGUAGCAGGUCUUGUGGGCGUAGUAGAUAGGUAAGCAGCCCUCUGAAGUUAAACUUUAUGAGAUUAAGGAAAAAACUCAUUUAUGUUCAGUGCUAACAUUGCAUUCUGCUGUUCCUAAGCAGUGUUUUCUGCCAUAAUCUUUAUGAACAUAGAAGUGCUUUUCUCUCCUCUGACGUGGUAUUCCAUGCCAAGAUCUUUUUCAUAGAAACCAGUAGGGGAUUAUUUUAAUUCAUUGUAAAUCGGCAGCCAAGCUUCACUAACAUUUUUGUUAAAGAUUGUCUUAUUACUUUGGUUUCAAGAUACUGAGUGUUCAGAUAUUAGCUUAGGAAGUUAGUUUUGUUGCCAUGAUAGCAUUUAUCUUAUGAGUGAAUUCCUGAAAGAGUUUGGAGCUGAAAUUAGUCGUAAAGAGAAAUAAAAAUACCGCAGAGAGUUUUGCAGGACCAUGGAUUCCUUUAUUAACACUGAAUUCUUUUACCAGCUUGACUUACAAUUUUCGGCAUUGUGUACUUAUAACUACAGAGCAGUUUCUGGCAUUAGCAGCCUAAACAAAGCACAGUUCCAGGGUGUUUGACCUCUUGAUGCACUUGUCAAAACCUUCCUGGUGUAGCUGGGAGCGAAACAUGCAGCAGCAGGCCAACUUCCACUUUGUGUGGUGAGAGUUUGGAAGCAGAUGUGGGCUGGUAUCACGUAAGGUUUGUGACAUCCCAGCAGAUCUCACGUGGAGUUUGCUGGCUUAGCCUCGUGGCCAGACUGUGACUGGUCCAGCCAAAAUGUGUGCAGUAGCUUGGAAAUGCGCAGACUGGUGGAGUGCAUGCUUCCUUUCUGGAAUAUGGGCUUGGGUGUUAUCUAACCCCCUCCUCCAAGUCUAGGGGGGUCAGUGGGGGGAAGGAAUCUCUGUGCACAGCAACACAGCAAAGGCUUUCCUAUGGGAAAGCAGGAAGAAAGGAGUGUUGCCUUGAGUGCCACCGUGGUGUGGCAAUGUCACUCACCAACAUGGUUCAGUUACUUUAGUGGUUCAAAAAAACCUCGCAGUCACAUAGCCAGUGUGUUUCAAAACCUUGAAUUAACACUUACUGCAUGUGAGGAAUUGCUGUUGGAGAGUGGCCCUAGGAGUGCAAGGGCAGCACUAAAUAAGACUAUGUAAAAGUGCAAAAGUAACAGAGUAGCUUAAAUUCAGUGUGCUCUCAGUGUUCAGGAGCUCUCCGCAUGGACAGUCGAGGUAUUUAUAGUUAAAUAGUUCAGGUUUGCGUGAGGGUUUCCCAGUGACCCUUCAGAUUAAAUCUGGUGACGUUUAAUGUUACAAGCAAGUGCUAAUUAUACUGCUUACAGCUCUUUGGGCAAGCAGGAAGUGGUUUCCCAUCCUCAGCAUGCCCUAGCACAUAGAGAACAUUCCAUCCUCCCAGAUUUAAGUUCCUAGGUGGCCUUCCCCUGGAUGAAAUAUGUUUUCUUUACCUUUUCUUUGUAAGGUGUCAUGAUUAUCAGUGUAAAGAGGUAGCUCACAGCUGCCUGAGCCCCACCCCAUCUCCUCACUGAGGGGAGGGAAGAAAGGGCAGCAGUUGGCAUUUUUUAAAUGUCUCAAGACUCGUGGUGUGGAGUACCAGGGCAGUACCUGCAGCAGGAUCUGUGCCCUGGGCUGCCCCAUGGUGUGGUCUGCCCUUGGCCUCUCUGCACUGCCCAGCAGUGGAGACUUGCCAGCCUUCUCUACUGGGCAGGGGUGGAAAGCAGGAGGGGGCUGUCACCCAUGUUCCCAUUCCUCCAUGAAUGGUGCUCACUGACAGUGCCUGACACCACUCUCUCUGCUUUGGUCUGUGCUUUCACUAAUAAAUUUCUUGGGAGGAAUUUCUGUAUUUUGAGGAGUAUUGGGGCAGACCUGGUUAUUUUAUAACUGGUCUAGGAUGGCUGAGGGGAUGGGACUUGCUCUUCAUCUUCAGUCAUUCCUCGUGCCAGGGCUCUCUCCCGUCAAUCCCAGGAGAGCCACGUGUCUGCAGUGCUGUAGCUCCCUGCUCCUGGUCUGUGCUCCCACAUUGGCAGGGGCUCAGGGUGGCCUGUGGUGAGACCUUUCUAAAGCAGCUUUUAGGCUGUUUGUGCAGAGCUGGUUGGGAGGCUUGGUCUAAAACCUGCUGUGGCCCCGUAGUUCUCUGAGCUCAACCUUGUCCUUGUUUUGCAACAGGCUGUCUCCUGACCAUAUGCAGCCUUCCCAGGCUUUAAGGGCUACUCUGCUCUGGGGCUUGCUGAGCUCUUUCUUACAUUAAUUAAUGUAGCUUUACCUUUGGCAGCAGCAAAGGGAGCUGCCAGAGGUCUUACAUAGCAUUUAAAAUGUCAGCUGCCGGUCUAGAGCAGCUGCCAGCACUGGAGCUCUGGCAGCGGGAAUGCUGUCACAGGACAAAUGCAGGGAAUGUCAGUGUGGACACAGCGUGAGUCAGGCAGGGCAGGGACUUGUGUACAGAGUAUCCUGACGUUGGUAAAAUGCCCUUUGAAAUCUCCCAGCAAGUUGUCUCCUGUCUUGCUUGGGUCAUAUUUAAGGAAAUGCUGCUGGCUUCUGACUGUUGUGGUUUGUAUUCAGACCUGACUGUAAGUAGUUGUCAGUGUGUGGGGUCUGCACAGAUGAAGUAAUCUGGUAGGACUGGGAGUCUCUCUUCUGGGUGAAAGAGUAAGGCAAAGCACUGGUGGUGAGAGUCUUGAGAAAGAAUGUAGUUUCUAAAAUCAGUAAUUUUGGUCACAUGUAUAUCUCAAUUUUAAUUUUUUUUAGUGGAUUUUUUCUUUUAAAUGUUUGGAACUUAUCUGUUGAUUGACUGAAUGAACAUGGGAAAAAUAAUAAAAAAAAAUUGUUACUACUGUCCUUGCUUGUCAUCAUUGCCUUUGUGAAUAAAAGUGUCUGGAGAGCGGUUGUGUUUCCUCAAUAUUUUUACUAGAAGGCUUGGCUGAAGACAUUGUGCUAAUUUGAGUCUUCUAUUUGCUGUCAGUGUGGGAAGUAAAUUUCUUUUUAUGCUGUUACUUUUUUGCAAUGAGUUGUGCCAGCUGUUAUAAGUUAGAUGAAAACCCACUUGCCUCUCACCUGUGAUUUAAACCAGGCUUGUGGAUUGGGCCUGUCAGAUGUAAGGAGGUCUGCCAGAGGUGUCCACAUAGGUAGAGAUGAAUUCAAGAUCAUUUCAACUGAAUCCAAAUCCUUUCAUGAGAAUUUAACUCUUCAGCAGAGGUUUCUUUUACAUGCUGGUGUUAAAGAAGGGCUCAUUGGGGUUUUUUGUUUGGCUGGUUAGUAAUGUGGGGUGCAUCCAUGGAAUGCAGGGGUGUGUGAAUCAGAAGGGUCUCACUGCCAGGCUCAUAGAUGUAAUGAUAGACUGGGUACUGCAAUAUUCACCACAGUGUUUUACAUACAGAAUUAAUCUGUGCCCUUCCUUGUGCUGGAAAUGUGUGCCUUUCGUGCCCUGUGCCUUUGCAUAUACACUGGCUUUGUGUUUCUUAUGGUAACAAAAGAUUUACAUUAAGCAGCCCAAGACAAUUUUAAAUACUAACAGGCAUAUAGAGCUGUGCUUUUGAUACCACCAAUAAUGGAACUACUUACUGGAAACCAAAUUCUCGACUUGCUGAUGGGAAUGCUGUAGAGUCAGCCAAAAAUAUCCAGAAACUUUUUGAUAUUCUAGGUUUGCUUCCACAUACAAGAAAACUUGCGUAAACAAUAAAGCUCCCAUCCUGCUCUACAUCCCAGAUCUGGGUUUUAUGGUAGAUUUCUUUUUUUAAAUCUAGGAGGGUUUCUGAAAUGGGGAAAGUGAAAGGCUCAGAUCAUCAGGGGGUUAUUGUCAAUACUGCCCAAGGAGUUAUAAAUGAAGAUCAUCAAGUCGGUCAUAUUUGUCUUUUAGAUUUUUUUAUCUGUUCUGACCUCUGAAUUCGAGGAAAAAUAAAAGCCUGACUAUAAUAUGCUUUUCUAAAUGCAAUUUUUUUUGCUAAUACCCUGACCAUUCUUUAGUCUGUUCUCCCUUAUGGCUACCCCUUCAGAGACAGGCUGAAAUUAUAGUGACCUGUCUUUUGUUAAUCUGCUUUUUGUAUUCCCGUGUAAUUUAUUUUCAUGUCUUUGAAUUUAUUCAGGAUGGCACUAAUGUGAUAUAUGUGUUUCAGGCAUGAAGAGGUUAAUGAAGCUUUAACUGCCUCAUAAUACCAGUCAUGUUCUUGGCAGCCUUGGGGAUGGGAGUUAUUGCCUCCAGUCAUGUACAAGAACUAUUAUCCUCUUUGAUUGCCAUAUUUCUGUACAGCCAAACUAGAUUUAACAGGAUCUUUAGGGGGGUCCUUUUGUAUGUUCCUCAGCAGAAAUAGCAAUUUUAUAGUGCCUCUUCUGAAAAUUGAGAGGGCAGCUUUUUGUGAACAGGUAAUGAAACCAAGAAUUCCUACGUAAAGUGAAUAAAAAUUACGUUCACGAAAAGGUGUUUUGAAGAUGUUUUUGUGAUUUAAUUUUUGGAAAUAAAUCCGUGGUAUAAGAAACAAUUCUCAGAGCCUCACUGCUAGUUUGAUUCUGGCCCUUUGGCUACUUAAACCGUAGCUUUACCUUAGGAUGAAGUAACUAGCUGUGUUUUUUUCUUUUUAGUUGAGGAAGGGGAAAAACUGAAUGUAGUAAGAAUUAAAGUGGACAUGCAAUUUUUUUUAAAAGCUCCAAUGGAAGUGAUUAUUUAUGGAAAUUUCAGAGUAAUUACUGGCUACCAGUGCUGCGCUGGCUAUUUAAAAUCCAUCAUGUGACUGAGAAUGAUGCCACUCACUGCACUUGGAUUGCUUAAUGACUUUUUUCUGGGCAAUGUUGUGUUGUAAAACAGUAAUUAGGUAAGAUGUUGUUUCAACCACAGAGUUAGUUUGGUACUAAUAUGCUCUAUGAAGAAAUCGUGUUAAAACCGUAAUACCUAGGGGACGUUCACAGGCAGGACUAAAGAGCCAGAUAUGAAGUAAAAAAGCAAGGCACUUUCUUCUGCAGUACUCACUUCAUCUGUGUAAAGUCUGGAGGUCUUUGUGAAAUACUCAAGCUGCUUUACUUUUCACUGUCUGAAGACCUCGUUAUUCAGAUAAUAAGAUAAUGUUCUUUUAAGCAAUUAUAUUUGUUGUGUAUGGCAUUGACAAUUGUGGACAUUAUCAAGGAAAAUAUCUCUUAAAACCUUACUUUAGAGGCUGCUGCCUCCACUUUAAUAUAUAUUCUGAGUUGUUGGAAGAACUGAACUGGGACACGUGGACAGCAGCGUGUGAGAGCUUCAAAAAGGUGAGGAAAUACACCAUCUAAUUAACCAGAAAUGAAGUGGUGGGAGCAAAAAUAAACUUAGUUCUUUCAAAUUUGUUUCAAGAAGAAUAAAGACUUUGCAGAUUACAUUCUGCCUUCGUGGCAAAUCUUGUCUUCUAACUGUAGUUGAGUAGGAUGGUAUUUGUUAAGCAUUUGAAAUGAUCACGGAAGGGGCUUUAAAGGAAAUGCCAUGUGGAUUGCAUAGAGUUUAGGUUCCUAACUGUGGAGACAGUAGCUUAACAAGGAUUGUGUGGGUAUUUCUGGUUUGGUUCAGACCAGCUGCAAUAUAUUGUUUAAACAGGCUAUAAAAACAGCCUUUCUAAAUCUGAGCACUGUGAUGAUUCCAGCAAGCUCACUGAAACAAGUUAUUUUUGGCAGGGAAGAAAGAAGAUAGGACUUGGUAUCUGCACUGAAAACCUAAUUUUCUGUUUAUUUAGGGAAGAGGAAAUGAGAAGCAGCAUUACAGCUGAGGAUAAAGCUAGCAUAAAACAAUGAGGAUGAAAAAGCUAAGAUAAAACUGACCUCCUUAGGGGGAGAAAUGAGGCUGAUAGAUGUAUCUGGUUGGCUUGGUGGGGAAGACAUAAGAGGAAAGUUUGGGGUUAUUUGGAUUGGACUGAUGUCUGAAAAUGGCAACCAGUGAGGUUCUUGAGGGGGAGGGGGGAAUUUUUUUAAACUCUUACACAUAUUUUCUACGUAACAUCUUGCACUUUCUGAGGUCCCUUUUUAAAGGACUUUUCCAGAUAACAUUUACAGUCCUGACACCUUGUGCUUGGAAGCCAUGUGUGAAGUUUUGAUAGUAAUUAAAUACCUCUUGUUACUUUAGAAAACAAUGAUAAUACAGUUUAUAAAUUUCCACUAUUCUGUGCUACUGAAUGUUCUUAAAGUAAUCCAUUAGUAAGGAUGUGCUCCAUGCAAUGCUUUUAUGGCUAGUUCAGCACCACUACCGAGUUUGGAAACAAGAGAACUGAAGUUAGGAAAUUAACUUGGAAGUAAAGCAAAAGGCUAAAGAACACAGCAUUUGAAAGUGGAUCCUGACAAAUUCAAGGAAAGAGUUAUAUUCAAGGCUAGGAUGUUCUUGAAUACUUUAAAUGGAUUAGAAAGAGUUGUUAAACUGAGUGUCUUUUUCGUUUUAAUCAAUUAUAUUAGUUGAGGAUUGCCACUAAGUCCCUGAAGGAUUGAAGAAGAGUUCUUUCCCCUAUCUCUUCCCUCAUACAUUCAGAUUUUUUCAUCAUUACAUUUGUUGGGUUUUUUUUAUUUUUCUUUGCUAGGAAUUGAAGAUGAGAGUCUGAACAUGCUGUACUGCCAUUCCUAUAGGAAAUCUUAAUGAUCCUGUUUAUGUUUUCCACCCAUGCUUGGGACUGCCAUCUGUCAUGCAGUUGCCAGAUUUGAGGAGAGUAAGGAAUUCUCUCCCACCCUCUCAUCCUUGUUUACGCUGGCACAGGCUGUUGGGAUCUUUAUUUUUCUGUGCUCUUCUGGUUUAUGGAGCAAAGUUCACUUCCUGGGCUUAGUUCAGCUGCUUCACUGUGGCUCCCUGAAAGUGCAAGACCUUCAGUGCUGCUAAAUACACUUUCUUGUUAUUUCUGUGUGAUGUCUGAAGGGGUUUUUUAUCUUUUAUACUAAAGAUAUACGUUACAGGCUGCGAGAGUUUUUCCACUGCUGUGAGUGUAUGUAUGGGCAGAAUGGGUGUUGGUUUUACAUUUUAAUCUAACAUCUACUAAAUAUGUUUAGGACUUCAGGGUGAUCAAGGUAGUCCCUCCCAUCAUUUACACCUCUGUUCUGUGAGGAAAUGUCUCUGAUACAUUCACAGAAGCAGCAAAAUCAAUAUUGUGCUUUAGCCCUGAAUGUAUUUGGAAUUUUGCUUGGAAAAAUCCAUUAUUUUAGACUAUUUCUUUGCUUUGCAAUACUGUAGGUUGUACAUCCUCAAUCUGGUUUAUGUGACUGCACCAGUAAUAGCGUCAAACUGUUUAAAGUCUGAUUUCUCAGUGGAAGAUCUAGAGUUUAGGGAAAAAAUGCAUGAGGAUCUGUGAUUCUAGAAGCAUUGCCUAAAAGGUGUUCAAAAUCUAAUAAUCCUAACAUUUUUGCUUUUUACAAGAUCAGAGCACUGCUAGCCUUUCAAAUACCUUUCUGUGGGACUUAUAAAGCAAAUAUUAAUAUGCAAAUGUGAAGGCUUUGAGCUAAUUGAAUAUUAAUGACUUUUGGAAUAUGCUGCUAUUGAGAUGUUUGAACAUUAAAGACAAUGAACAUUACAUAAUUGAUAAGAAUGGCUCAUUAGUUAAAACAGAGUUUGUGUGACUGUUGAUGAAUGGUUUCAAGUCAUAUUAGUUUUAUAAUGGUUUCUGUCAGUACAGAGUUAAUUUUUGAGGUGUAAGGUGAUAUUAGGGUGUUGGACAGGAGGUUGCAGAACACUAUGAUAGGUCAAUACCAGCUCUGCCAGUGUUGCUACAUUCAAGAAUAGUGUACUUUACUCAGACUUGGGGGAAUGCAAUGAUUUUUUUGUGCUCUCCGUUCAGCGAUUCUGUUUUUAUACUUUGCAUUAAUUCUCUUUAUAAAAGUCGUAAAUGGUAUGAUCUGCUAAACUUCCAAGGUGCAGCUGUAUUCAUUCAGGGAGUGUGCUGAGACAGUAAAUAGGAGAGAUCACCUCUGUCAUGCAGCUCUGAACACGCUACAAGGGUGGAUUUAUUUGUGUGUGACAUGAAAUCCUAACUCUGCUCUGGUUUCCUGCAGCCACUGUGUGGGACCUGCAACCUGAGGAGAACCUGUGCUGCAGCACGAAAAAUGUCUCGGUUCCAAAAGUUAAAUGAGAGAAUGAUCAUCAGCAAAUAUGAGGCUGCUGCUUAGUAAGUAGGGGUAUUUAGUGACUUUUUCACUAAAAGCAAUGAACAGUGAUGUGUUUCCAGCCUGAGGAAACAGGACAAAAUGAGCAGGACAAACCUAUGUUGCAGAUCAGGUAUAAUUAAUUUCUCUGUAAUUAAGUCACAGAGUAAUUUCUGUUGAAAGGGGUGCCUGGAAUCUGAGAAUUAGCAAGCUCCUCUGUAAAGCACUGUCAGAUGGAAGGAGGGAGCUAUAAAUGUGAGUGAUUGUAAAAUGAUCUAGUGUGAAGAUAACUGCCCGUCACUGGCUAGCAGGGAAGUGGCCCAGAGGGGCCAUCUUCACGUAAAAUAUAUGUACACAGGAGGCUUCAGAGCAGUAAUAUAUUUGCUAAGAGAAAACUAUUGCAUCACUCAUCUAUUAGGUGAGUCAGAUCCAUUGGUGAGUGCCAGCAGGAAAGAAAGGAACUAGGAAUACUCAGGACCCAAGGAAUUGAUGAGCAGCCGGAAGGAAAGAACCCAUUUGUUUGAGAAGCAGUUGCAUCAACUAACACCUGCAUUGACAGAUGUUUAGGGCCAAAUCCAUGGGUCUCAUGCCAGAGCACAGACAGCAGAGGGAAGGGCAAAGCAGCCCUGCAGCCCCACUGCCUGGGAGCGUGGAGCCCACCUGAGAGAGAGCGCAGGGAGACAGAAGUUGCUUUCUUCAGUCUCAUCAGAAGAGAUGGAUUGGGGCAGGACGGAGUCAAAUAUCUCUCAACCAUUUCCCUGGUAAAGCAGAGAAGUUGUUUUAUUUGACUUAUCUACCGAAAAACCAUACCUGAGAAUGAAUAGAUGCAUUACUUUAAACAUAUUUGAACAAAAUCACUGCAAUACAUUUUGGACAUACAGCUUGCAGCAAGUAUAGAUUCUCUGUAUAGAUGCAGAAAAGGAUGCAGUUCUUGAACUUGUAUAUUACUUUUAUCUUUGAUGAUGUUACAUUAGAAAGAAAUGGGAUACCAUAGAAAUAUUUUUUGUAAUAAAUGAAUACAUCGAAAGUAUAAGAUAAAGGUGGAAGAUACGUGAGGACUCAGAGCAAGAAGACUCAUCAGAAGAAUGCUUAGCAGAUGUGUAGUGUUCACUAUGGUGUGACACAGACAUUUUUCUUGUUUCCUAUUUCAAAAUACAUGAGUUUAAAAGCAUAUGCUGAAUCAGGUAAGAAUAAAGUGUUAGUGCUAUUGCAGCUGUCCUUGCUGAAGGGUAGCCUUUAUCUCACGUAAUUACAUUUACAGUUGUAUUGUAAUAGAGCUGUGUACUAAUGGGAUGAUUUAGCCAUAAAUCCAAAAGCCGUAUUGAGGCUAUUAGAAUGUUGAGGGUGUCUGGUGCAAGCCUCCCUGGUGCACUUUCUGGUCACCAUCUGGAAGGAAGCCAGCUAGAUGCAAAUCACCUUUUGUGGGAAAAUAAGAGCCUAAUCUGUGUAAGGGUCACACUCCAAUGUAAAAUAUGUAUGGAUUUAUCAGUGGGAGUCAUUACCAACAUACCUUUCUGCUGCUCUUUGCCUCAUUGUGUGCACCAGCUCAAGUGGAAAAUCAAGUGCCAGAUUAAUGCUACGCAUUUGCAAAACCCCUUUGAGAGGAGCAGACACUGUUGCCUGUAAAUUUAAGCCUUUUAAGAGGUUAAGAUGGGUGAAGGUGAAACAAAUAUUAUUGUACUUAACAGUGUACUCCUGCACUCUACAAGGCUUGAUUCUCUUCCCCCUUGAAGUCAAUUGUGAGACUUCUAUUGACAUUAAUGGGAGCAGGCUGGGCCUGUUCCUGAGCUGGAGAGGGGCUGCACGAAGAGCUCUUCAGCGUUCCCUUUAAGUGCAGAAAGACAAAUUUUUUAAAAAAGAAGAGAAACAAACAGUGACAAAACACCACAAACAACCUACGUGUUAUUUGCAAAGUGUGGUACUGAAAUCUGUAUUAGUAUUUAAAAGGAGGCUGGGGAGAGGGUUGUUGAUAUUCUGUCUAUUCCUGCAAGACAAGUCAUUUAGUGGGGAGGGGUGAGUUUUGAUAGCUGGCCUUGGUGCACUGUUACCAUGGUGAGUUGCAAACAAUUCCUCCCUGGAUUCUGGUGGUUUUGUGCAUUUGCUAAAGUUAACACUGUUACCAAGUGAAUUAUUUAGUUCAGGAUUCCUGGCUUAUAAUUUGCUGGUUGCAGAAUUCUGGGAGUAAAGUUUCAGUCUCUGAAUGGUUGGCUCCUGAUAAAGCAGUUUGAAGUGGUUUCCUAUGCCUAAAUAAGCAUCCUCUGGAAGGUGUGAAAUGUACCAAAUACGGGAAAUGGAAAAGAGCCCCUGGCAUUUCAUGAGAUUUUUGAGUGUUCCUGACUAUUUGCCAAGGCUCAUUCAAAGUAAAUGGAUGGGUUACUUUCUAGUAGUUCAUGGGCAGUGACCCGUAUAAGAAAAACUUCUGAAGAAAUCAUGAGAGCUUCACUUGCUUACUUACCUAAAUGAAUUUUUGGAAAGGGACCUGUUUUUGCUAGAAACAUAUUAUUAGGCACAUUGUACAUUUAUGUUUGCUGCCUUCUUGCUAUCAGUUAACUGCUUUGGGUGGGAAAGACUAACCAGAUAAGGUUCCAGCUUCUGUUGUUGGAGAGAGAAACCAGGAUCUGAGCUGAAGGGCGUUAAUCCACAAAGAUGCAAUUAAACGUAGGAAACAGGAGCUGUCCAUACAAGGAAAAAAAAUUGAAGCAAUGAACUAUAAUGUUCAUCUGUUCUAGGACUGGAAGCAGGCUGACAGAACAAAAGUCAUAUUUGGAAAGCAGCUGGUCAUGCCCAGAUUCUGAGUUAACAUAUGAACUUUAAUCCCUAAGAGAAAUAUGGAAGUUAUCUCUGGAGCCAGAUAUGCAGACUGGCUGGAUAUCCAGUCUGUAAGUGCAGUGGAGUUGCAAAUAGUAGUGAACUUCAUCGAACUGUUUAGUUUUGAUUUGUUGUUGGUGGAUUUUUUGCUGUCCUUACCGAUGCAAGAAUAAUUAACGUGUCAUUCUGCUCAUUACACAGGAUGUUAUGUGUCACUUGGACUUGGAGAAGUGCUGAUUUUGAGGCAGAUCCAUGGAAGCAUGUACUGUGCCCCCUUUGCCUGGUCGCUCCUUGGCAGUGUGGAAAAAAAUGAGUUCUGACUGAAAUGUUUGUAUGACCCAGAAAACACUGUGGAAAACCUAGAGGCACCAAAAGGGAGCCUUCAAUACAGAAACUCACUGCAAACUCUGGAAACAGUGAAGCUCAAAACAAUGAAAAUCUCUGCAGUUAUGGCAAAGCAGAGUAUCAAAGGACAGCGAAGUCACCCUGACAGGAUGAAGUCAGACAUCUGGCACUGACUGGGUGUCCCCUGCAAGGCUGUGCUCCAUUCCAGUCGUUCUCCUGUGUAACUGGCUGUAAAAAGGAUGUGAUGUUUUUUUCCAUCACACACCUUGUCUCCUGGCAUUGAAUGCUAUAGCUGAGAUGUGCAGGUGGAAGAGGAAUUUGCUUAUUGCCAAAGGAAACUCCAAAGCAGAAAAAGGCUGAGCUAGUCAAAGGAAAUAUGUGAAGAACUUUCUGUUGGAUCACAGAGUACAGUCAGUGAAUGGUUCUCUGGGAUAUAAAGUGCUGGAAAAUCAUUCUGGGUACAAGCAAGCAAGGAAGGCUUCUCAGUUAACCUCUGGAUGUUAGGAACCAGUGCCCAGGAUUUGCUGCAUCCAAGACAAGUGAGAAACUUGUUGGUCUUUUAUUUGCAUUUGACAUAUGAUUGUCUUCUCUAAUGUUUUCCUGUGCCAUUCCUCUGGUGUUCUACAUUGGACAAAUCUGCAUCU